UCUCAAACUCUCAACAAAGAAAUCCCCAAAUCAAUGAGCAAUUACAGAAGCAGAACCACCGCAGAUUCAAUUCUCGAUUCUCUCUCCCUCAAUCCUCUGCCGUAUCCCGUCCUCCUCCUCCUCGCCGUCGUCUUCAUCUUUCUCGGCGCCUCCUGGUGGCUCUCCUACGAGUCCGCCGUUGAGGCCGCUGAGGAUCAAAUCAACUGGAUUCUCUUCGCUACGCCGGUCCUCCUCAUCAUCCUUGCCCGAAUCCUCUCCUCCGUCGAUCCGAGCUACUUUUCUUCCUCGCCUUGGGACCGCCGCCGCAGAACGCACCACCUCCCUGCCGAGGGAAGUUCGCCGUGGGGCGUCGCUGCGUUGAUCGUGCUGCUGCUUGUUCUCGUGCAGUUCCAGUCCUCGUUCCGUGAGAGCUGGUCCAUAUAGAAACCUUAUGUAUAUAGAAAUGGCGUACGCGACCGCUCCUCUGCAGUGGAGCGCGCUGCGGUUGAUUUGAUUUCAAAAAAGUGCUUGAAUGAAGAUGAAGAUGAAGAUGAACUGUUUUUGUUUAUCAAAUAAAUAUAAAUACUCGUAGAUUUUCAUUCCUGUAAUUUGUGCAUCACUUUGUAGCUCUGAAUAGAACAGAUCACUUGUUUUCUUCACCAUA